CUACAGGUACUAUAAGGCCCAUCAAAUUAAAGAAGAAUCCAGUACACAACUAUGCUGUCAUUGAGCCCCCAGUAAUUCAAAAUCCACAAGAAGUCGUUUACGAUUCUCCCUUGGAAUUGUCAUCAUUUGAACUUCAACCGAGAAUUCAACCUCCACCCACCCACUAUAGAGUAAUGGCAGAACAAGAAAAUCAACAAUAAUAAAUUAUAUAAAUAAAACUCCAUGCACAAGCUGUGUUUGUUGGUAUAUGCACAUCAUUAGAUUGCAAGUAGCUAAUAUAAAGCUGUGUGUACUAUUAUUAUCUACAGCUAUUUUUCAUGUACAAUUAAA